rnacentral:pre_miRNA from 1 species
AACAAUAUCCUGGUGCUGAGUGAGUGGCCCUCAGAGACUCCAGCAUCAGUGAUUUUGUUGA